rfam:Zea mays cultivar B73 chromosome 3, whole genome shotgun sequence.
CCCCUUGACGAUGAGGAACUGGUGAUGUAUAUCUGCAACGGUCUUGAUCUUGAGUACAAUCCUCUAGUUUCUGCUCUUGUAACUAGACUAGAACCUGUUACUCCUUCAGAAUUGUACUCCCAACUUUUGAGCUUUGAGA